rnacentral:rRNA from 1 species
AGAGAGAGACAUGCGCGCAUAUCAAUAAGCGGAGGAAAAGAAACUAACUAGGAUUCCCUCAGUAACGGCGAGUGAAGCGGGAAGAGCUCAAAUUUGAAAUCUUCAAGGGUUCUACCUUUACGAAUUGUAGUUUAAAGAAGUGUUUUCUGUUGAGGUUUUGGUAAAAGUUCUUUGGAAUAGGACAUCAUAGAGGGUGAGAAUCCCGUAUUUGACCUUUACUUUCAACUUUGUGAUACACUUUCAAAGAGUCGGAUUGUUUGGGAAUGCAGUCCAAAAUGGGUGGUAAAUUUCAUCUAAAGCUAAAUAUUGGCGAGAGACCGAUAGCGAACAAGUACCGUGAGGGAAAGAUGAAAAGAACUUUGAAAAGAGAGUUAAACAGUACGUGAAAUUGUCAAAAGGGAAGCGUUUGACACCAGUGUUGUUUUUCUGAAAAUCAAUUAAAGAACUGUUUAUGCUAAGUUGUUUAGACUUUAUCAGCUAUCUGUUUAGUUUUGAGCUUUUCUUUAAUGCACUUUUCAGUUAACAAGUCAACAUCAAUUUCUUUUGCUGUAAAAAAGCUUGAGGAAGGUGGCUUGAGAUUCGUCUUAAGUGUUUAUAGCCUCUUGCCUAUGCAGUCGGAGAGAUUGAGGUCUGCAGCGUAGAUCCUUCGGGGCUAAAUGCAUUUGUGCUAAGUUAUAGCAUUUUAUAGACAACUUGUUGACUAUGAUUUGUCUUGUAGCUUACUCGCUUAUGUUAUUUUACCUACGCUUAGGAUGUUGAGCGCAUGUCUCUCUCU